rnacentral:rRNA from 1 species
AUUGAACGCUGGCGGCAGGCCUAACACAUGCAAGUCGAACGAGGGGCGGACUGGUGAGCAAUGUCUGGGGAACUGCCUGAUGGAGGGGGCUAACUCCUGGCAACGGUAGCUAAUACCGCAUACUAUCGGCUCUGCCCAUAUGGGAUGAGCUCGUGGGUGGGGUAACGGCUCAUCUAGGCGACGCUCCCUAGCGGGUCUGAGAGGAUGACCAGGCAGACGGGGACGGAGACAGGGGCCAGACUCAGACGGGAGGAAGCAGUGGGGAAUAUUGCAGAAGGGGGGAAAGCCUGAUGCAGCCAUGCGGCGUGUAUGAAGAAGGACUUCGGGUUGGAAAGUACUGUAAGCGGGGAGGCGGUACCCGCAGAAGAAGCACCGGCUAACUCCGUGCCAGCAGCCGCGGUAAUAC